rnacentral:lncRNA from 1 species
GAACUGCAUGCUUGCUUAAUAUGUAUAUUUUGUUUCUUAUAUUUAGCUUAUUAUUGUGUUAUUCGUUGACUUAUUGAAGGUGGUCCUGGGGGAUUCCUUAUUCUAAAUACUUGGGGUCACUCAGACUCAUCUGAUUUCUAAUCAUUACUUCGUCAGAGUUUCUUGGCACCUUUUCAAAUAUUUCACUUAUCAUUCAUAUUUUUCAUUCAUUUUCCAAGCAUUUUUCAUUUAACAUCUCCAACCUCAACUCAACACCUUAAAACAUUGUAGCCCACCGUCACGCGGGGGCUGGUCCACUGCCACGCAUGGGCCGUCAGAUGAAGCUUCGCUUUAUCAUUCUUUUGUCAGUUGUGUUGUUCAAGUUGAGCGUAGUGGCUUGUCAGCUGGUCUUCUUUCCACGAAAGAAUCGCUUCCUGACAAAGUCCUGGAGCAAAAUUAUUCGUCAGAUAGUUGAGUGAUUUCCCAAGGCC